AUGAGGAUACGAGACUUAUACGCCUUUCCACAGUGCGCUCGCGUGGUCCCUUUUCGUAGCUCGCCGCGCCCAUCGUUAGGCGUCGUCAUGGGACGUGGAACAGAACGCUCGAGGUCGUUCCGUGCUAGCCUGAGCCAUCACGGGACGGGCUCACGGCAGUGGACGUGUGUGUGGGGUCCACCAAAUGGGGAAAUUGUGGAGUGUUUCAGGUGUGGGCGGCUGACAAGCGGUGAAACCGACCAGGGAAGGGGAGCCAGCGCCUGCUCUCCUUAUCUCUGGGAUUCCACCUUUCAUACGAAUUUGUUCCCCCGUGAUCCGUUGAAUCGAACCCCCAUGUCCCCGCCGCCGGUGACUCGUUUGCUGCGUCCCAGGUUUCCACUAAGAGAGGAGUCAGCAGAUAAUUUGGAACAUCCAGAUCCGGUGCCGUUGGCGCUACUGCCACGCCGCGAGAUCCGGGGAAGGAAGAAUGCUUCGCCAACUAGGUCUCCACAAUCCACGGGGGAGGUUGAGGCUGGGGAGUACACCACCCUGGAACAAUCCAUCCAGAAAUAUGCAGAAGAACCUAGUAAGAGUGUGGUGAAGCCUGAACUUGGUCUGAGUUUUGACUUGUCGGGUGAGGCGUAUGACUUUUACAAUUUGUAUUCGUGGGUGGUUGGCUUUGGGAUACGCUAUGGUAAGAGUAGAUUGAACGAUAAGAGGACGAAGAUAAUGCAGGAGAUCCUGUCCGGCUGUGCGGGGAAGCCGGAGGUGAAGAACAGCCGGUCAUGCAGGUGCAGUGACAAGACAAGUCUGUAUGACAUGCCAUUCGGUCUUUUUGUUCGGGUGAACCACCAUUUCCAGAGUGUUAUACUGAUCAAAAGAGAGCUAUGGAAGUUGCAAUUCAUAAGUGUAUCCACACACCGUGCACAGAUGGUGCAAAAUGGCACUUCUAAACCACGACAAAAUGGUGCUGUGAGGCGAACAAAUCUGGCUAUUGAGCGUCAUGCGAGCAAAAUAUACACGAAGGCUAUGUUCAAGCGGUUUGGGCAAGUGGUGUAUGAGGUCAACAUCAAGGAAGACGGGACUGAAUUUGAGUGUGAGUGUGGCGAGUUCGAGCACACAGGCAGGUUGGCAAACAGUCGGGAGAGGGCUGAGCAAACGCACAAAGAUUCUGUAGCAUCAGAUGACUGGGAAGGUCACAAAAGAACGACAUGCCCGGGGAUGCACCGAAGCAGCCAUGUAAAGCCCGGCAAGUGUAAAAACUGUGGGAUCGAGGGGCACCGCCGGAACUCAUGCACAUGA
rnacentral:rRNA from 1 species